rnacentral:rRNA from 1 species
AACGCUGGCGGCGUGCCUAAUACAUGCAAGUCGAGCGGACCGGAUCGGAGCUUGCUCUGGUUUGGUCAGCGGCGGACGGGUGAGUAACACGUGGGCAACCUGCCCGCAAGACCGGGAUAACUCCGGGAAACCGGAGCUAAUACCGGAUAACACCGAAGACCGCAUGGUCUUUGGUUGAAAGGCGGCCUUUGGCUGUCACUUGCGGAUGGGCCCGCGGCGCAUUAGCUAGUUGGUGAGGUAACGGCUCACCAAGGCGACGAUGCGUAGCCGGCCUGAGAGGGUGACCGGCCACACUGGGACUGAGACACGGCCCAGACUCCUACGGGAGGCAGCAGUAGGGAAUCUUCCGCAAUGGGCGAAAGCCUGACGGAGCGACGCCGCGUGAGCGAAGAAGGCCUUCGGGUCGUAAAGCUCUGUUGUGAGGGACGAAGGAGCGCCGUUCGAAGAGGGCGGCGCGGUGACGGUACCUCACGAGGAAGCCCCGGCUAACUACGUGCCAGCAGCCGCGGUAAUACGUAGGGGGCGAGCGUUGUCCGGAAUUAUUGGGCGUAAAGCGCGCGCAGGCGGUUCCUUAAGUCUGAUGUGAAAGCCCACGGCCCAACCGUGGAGGGUCAUUGGAGACUGGGGGACUUGAGUGCAGGAGAGGAGAGCGGAAUUCCACGUGUAGCGGUGAAAUGCGUAGAGAUGUGGAGGAACCACCAGUGGCGAAGGCGGCUCUUUGGCCUGCCACUGACGCUGAGGCGCGAAAGCGUGGGGAGCAAACCGGAUUAGAUACUCUGGUAGUUCUCGCCGUAAACGAUGAGUGUUAAGUGUUAGAGGGGUCACACCCUUUUAGUGUUGCAGCUAACGCGAUAAAGCUAUCCGCUUGGGGAGUACGGUCGCAAGGCUGAAAUACAAAGGAAUUGACGGGGGCCCGCUCAAGCGGUGGAGCAUGUGGUUUAAUUCGAAGCAACGCGAAGAACCUUACCAGGUCUUGACAUUCCCUGACAACUCAAGAGAUUGGGCGUUCCCCUUUUGGGGGGACAGGGUGACAGGUGGAGCAUGGUUGUCGUCAGCUCGUGUCGUGAGAUGUUGGGUUAAGUCUUGCAACGAGCGCAACCCUUGCCUCUAGUUGCCAGCACGAAGGUGGGCACUCUAGAGGGACUGCCGGCGACAAGUCGGAGGAAGGUGGGGAUGACGUCAAAUCAUCAUGCCCCUUAUGACCUGGGCUACACACGUGCUACAAUGGGCGGUACAAAGGGCUGCGAACCCGCGAGGGGGAGCGAAUCCCAAAAAGCCGCUCUCAGUUCGGAUUGCAGGCUGCAACUCGCUUGCAUGAAGCCGGAAUCGCUAGUAAUCGCGGAUCAGCAUGCCGCGG